rnacentral:rRNA from 1 species
UACGUAGGUGGCAAGCGUUGUCCGGAUUUACUGGGCGUAAAGAGCGCGCAGGCGGUCGUUCAAGUCGCGUGUGAAAGCCCCCGGCUCAACUGGGGAGGGUCACGCGAUACUGAUCGACUCGAAGGCAGGAGAGGGUAGUGGAAUUCCCGGUGUAGUGGUGAAAUGCGUAGAUAUCGGGAGGAACACCAGUGGCGAAGGCGGACAUCAC